rnacentral:sRNA from 1 species
GGAUUUGUAAAGAUAUUGAUUCCAGAUAAUGUUUGCCUUUCUAACUCUCUCUUCCUUAGACUUGAUGGAUAGGUUCAGGGCUACAUCUCGGCAGCCAACUCACCGCAGCUACCCAGGGAAAGAGGAGUGGAAAACGAGCUCGGAAGAUAUAAGUUACAACCCCCAGAAGUCUAGCCUAGAGCUAUUGGAUGGUGUCCAGCUUUGCCGGAAUUAGAGAGAUAGAGAAACUGAGACACAAAGAAGUUAACAAGAGCCAGCAAGGGACAGGACCUGGAUUGGAGCCCAGGGGUCUAACUCCAGAACCAGCACCACCAGCUCAGGCACAAAGCUGCAGUUGCAGAGGGUGCUCCGUGGUCAGUGGCUGUCCUCAAGUGCCCCAGUCAGCUCAGCUGAGCCCAAAGCCUCCCAUCUCUGCAUUCAGGGGCUCUCUUCUUCCCCCAUCCAUCACCAGGGACCAGUGAUCUUGCCUGUCGAUGCCCGGCUCUCGCUUGAUGUCUCAGUUCCGGAACAGAGAUGCUCCAGCUACUACCUGGGAAGGCUCUGGCCCCAAAAAUAUUUAGUUAGCAGCCAUUCAGUUAAGUGGAAUUGACUUUUUAUCGGCUUUCCUCUGUACGGCUGCCACCAGCGAAGGCUGUUUCCUUCUUCCCUCUUCUCUGCCUGUCAGUUUCCUCCACAUUCCUAUCGGCAGCCUUUAGCUCUGAUCGAUACUAACCGCUGUGUAACAGCUCACGCACGACUGCUCUGGUUUGCAUCGAUCAGACCCUUCUUCCAACAGGUAGUCAGCUAUUUGAGGCAAUGACUUGAGAUAAACACCUACUUUUACUUCAGGCUAAUUCAUUUCAGGUGGAUUUCAAGGAGGCUCUGCACCCCGUCUCUUAGACAAGCUGAAAUUGGAGAGUCAAGAUCCACGCAUUGCAUGCUUGAGAUCCUAGGAGACCUUUCUUCCUCUCCCGUUUUCUUUUUCUUUCCCUUGUAUUUUGUAAGUGCCACUUAUAAACAAGAUACCAGGACUCAGGACGUUGAAAAUACCACUUCAGAAAAUGUGUCGGCCAUCCAUCCCUCUAUCCUUUUAAUGAGAUGCAUCCGGGACUGCAGGAAACCAAGACUGCUGCGGAGGCAGCAUUGUCGCUGGGCAACCAAGCAUCCUUCCAGCUGCCCCAGAAAGAAUCCCACAAUGUCCUGCAAUCCCUGGUCUUCUCACCACCUCAGCGGGCGGUCCUUGAAUCCACCCCCAUCCUUGUUCCAGGCUCACAAGUGAAAUUUACCAGGAGCUGAUAUUGCAAAAUAGAUUGCUAUUUCGCAACUGA